rnacentral:rRNA from 1 species
UUUGCAUAUUCCAAAAAGCGGAGGAAAAGAAACCAACAGGGAUUGCCCUAGUAACGGCGAGUGAAGCGGCAACAGCUCAAAUUUGAAAUCUGGCCUCUUUUGGGGUCCGAGUUGUAAUUUGCAGAGGGCGCUUUGGAGUCGGCAGCGGUCCAAGUUCCUUGGAACAGGACGUCACAGAGGGUGAGAAUCCCGUACGUGGUCGCUAGCCUUCUCCGUGUAAAGCCCCUUCGACGAGUCGAGUUGUUUGGGAAUGCAGCUCUAAAUGGGAGGUAAAUUUCUUCUAAAGCUAAAUAUUGGCCAGAGACCGAUAGCGCACAAGUAGAGUGAUCGAAAGAUGAAAAGCACUUUGGAAAGAGAGUCAAAAAGCACGUGAAAUUGUUGAAAGGGAAGCGCUUGCAGCCAGACUUGCCUGUAGUUGCUCAUCCGGGCUUUUGCCCGGUGCACUCUUCUAUAGGCAGGCCAGCAUCAGUUUGGGCGGUUGGAUAAAGGUCUCUGUCAUGUACCUCUCUUCGGGGAGAACUUAUAGGGGAGACGCCAUGCAACCAGCUCAGACUGAGGUCCGCGCAUUCGCUAGGAUGCUGGCGUAAUGGCUGUAAGCGGCCCGUCUUGAAGCACCGGACCCACACA